rnacentral:rRNA from 1 species
CCUACGGGUGGCAGCAGUGGGGAAUAUUGGACAAUGGGCGAAAGCCUGAUCCAGCCAUGCCGCGUGUGCGAAGAAGGCCUUCGGGUUGUAAAGCACUUUCAGUGGGGAAGAAAGCCUUGGGGCUAAUACCCUCGAGGAAGGACAUCACCCACAGAAGAAGCACCGGCUAACUCCGUGCCAGCAGCCGCGGUAAUACGGAGGGUGCGAGCGUUAAUCGGAAUUACUGGGCGUAAAGCGCGCGUAGGCGGUCUGAUAAGCCGGUUGUGAAAGCCCCGGGCUCAACCUGGGAACGGCAUCCGGAACUGUCAGGCUAGAGUGCAGGAGAGGAAGGUAGAAUUCCCGGUGUAGCGGUGAAAUGCGUAGAGAUCGGGAGGAAUACCAGUGGCGAAGGCGGCCUUCUGGACUGACACUGACGCUGAGGUGCGAAAGCGUGGGUAGCAAACAGGAUUAGAUACCCGAGUAGUC